rnacentral:sRNA from 1 species
GACGCUCAUAGUCGGUGGAGUGGACGAU